rnacentral:rRNA from 1 species
AACGAACGCUGGCGGCAGGCUUAACACAUGCAAGUCGAACGGGUGUAGCAAUACAUCAGUGGCAGACGGGUGAGUAACACGUGGGAACCUUCCUAGGGGUACGGAACAACUCAGGGAAACUUGAGCUAAUACCGUAUACGUCCGUGAGGAGAAAGAUUUAUCGCCCUUAGACGGGCCCGCGUCGGAUUAGGUAGUUGGUGGGGUAACGGCCUACCAAGCCUACGAUCCGUAGCUGAUCUGAGAGGAUGAUCAGCCACACUGGGACUGAGACACGGCCCAGACUCCUACGGGAGGCAGCAGUGGGGAAUCUUGGACAAUGGGCGCAAGCCUGAUCCAGCCAUGCCGCGUGAGUGAAGAAGGCCUUAGGGUUGUAAAGCUCUUUUACCAGGGACGAUAAUGACGGUACCUGGAGAAUAAGCCCCGGCAAACUUCGUGCCAGCCGCCGCGGUAAAAC